AUUGUUUGGUCUUAUCACCAAACGUGUGGAAGAGAGAACUCAUUUAUGUUCUUCUUUCUCUUUCUUCUUCUUUCUUCUUUUCUCUUCUUCCUCUCCGUUCUUCACCUGCUGGUGAAUUGAGUAUUUGAAAUAGAGAGAUUUUGAGGUCGAGAGAGAUAGGGUUUGAUUGAGUAGUAAUUACUGUUCGUGGUGCUGAUUUUGAAUUAGCUCUGAGGGAGAAGAAGAUGAUACUGUGAAUUCCAAAAGAGGAGAUUAUGAGUUCAAGUUAGGGUAUUUGAGUCUGAGAUGAAGAAUUCAAGAGGAUUGACGAAUCUGCUAAGAACCCUAGUGAUUAUUGAUGAAGGUGGUGUUGAUUUGAAUAUCGAUUCAGAAUCCAUGAGAAAGGUUAGUCGUUAUUAACAACGAUCGAUCUAAAGAUUGAACCAGUGGAUUAUGGAUCUCGAGGUAGGCAAGGCUUGUCAUCGAAAGAGGUGGGAACUCUGUAACCUUCUUGUAAUCAUUAAGCUUUCUUUAUCUACGAGCAUGAUGAGUCCUUACUAUCGGUGUGCAUGAUUGCGUGUUCUUUGAUGUACUAUUCAUGUAUCUUUGAGUAUGACAUAUAUGUUGUAUAUGUAUGUACGAUGAUUGCUUCGAUGUAUUGUUUGUGAUAUUCAUUGUGA